GAAUAUUACAAAAGGGGGGGAAAUCAGAAUGAAGGCCUAGAAAUCCCUUCCCCUGCUCAGAAAACCCUGGAUAUUUUGAAAACAGAUUCAGAUGUCCUUUCCCACAGAAAAGGGAGAAAGCUUGCAUCAAGGUGUGUGUGUGUGUGUGUGUGUGUGUGUGUGUGUGUGUGUGUGUGUGUGUGUAUACCGAGCUUCAGAGAUGGAGUUUGAACACUGUCCUCUGUUUCUUAGUAAACACUGCAGUAUCAUUUUCUCCCUCACCUUCAUUUUCUCCUUGACACAGGAACUGUUUGCGUCAUCUGGAAAAAUCAAGACUCUCACGUUGGCAGGCAGCUGCCCUUGGAAGCCCAGGGAUGGGAUUUUUCCAGGGCCAGAAGACAGAAAGUUCAACUGCAUGAUAUCUACUUCCUGUCUCCCAAUGUCAUGGGCACAGGAAGGGAUAAUGGUAGUCAUUCACAACAUUUGCUAUGGAAACAAGUGACCAGCCAUGCAAGAGGUGAUGACCAUUACUUCCACAAAGGCUAAGUAAGCACCAGAGUGGGCACUAGCCUUCUCCAGUUGACCGAGAAGUAGAAGAAAUCACACUGGGUGCACACACUUGCACCCUGAGCUGCGCUGACUCUACUUGCCCCGAUCAACAGGACAGAAAUGAUUGCUCACCCAGCUUCAUGUGCCACCAUAUGGAAUGAAGACAAUUACUGUCUACUCAGUUUCAGAAUUGGGGAAAGAAAUUGCACGUGCAGACAUGGCUAUAUUAUGCUUUUUUUUACCCCCAGCUAUUUCUUUAUGUCCUUUGGCCCUUUCAGCAGAAGUCCUCUCCCUUCCUACUCAACCCCACCCCAUAUCCACAGUCAAAACUACAAUCAGGCUUAUCUUAGCACUAAAGCCAAGCAAAAAAUACCCAAGUGCUGUAGAAACACUUUAUCCCAAAAGACAUCUUUCUUACAACUCCAAUGAUAUCUUAAUCAAUGAUGACUGGAAGUCUCCUUGUGAAAAUGUCAUGUCUGUCCUUUGAAAAACACACUAUCUAAUUGAAAAGGUCCAAGAUUCUGGACCAAUCCCUGUGACUAGCCUUUAGCUCAGGGGUGGGGAGCCUGCCUUGGGUGUGGCCUUUUGACUGAGUCCAAGUUUUGCAGAACAAAUCCUUUUAUUAGGGGGAUUUGUUCUGUGAAGUUUGGAACUAGUCAAAGGGCCUUAGCUGAGGACCUAGAGGGCCAUUUGUGGCCUCAAGGCUUCAGGUUCCCCACCCUUGCUUUAGUGUAAACCCUAGGAGGCAAAUUUGAUAAUAAAGACUUCAGAGACUAACUCA
rnacentral:lncRNA from 1 species